rnacentral:tRNA from 1 species
GCGCCGGUAGCCCAGAGGAAGGGGCAGCGGACUUAAAAUCCGUUCAGCGCGAGUUCGAAUCUCGGCCGGCGCA